UCCGAGUUGACCCCGGCAGUCUCCUAUGAGUCCCCGCCAUCACGCGCUGGCAACAUAGAACGAGGGUUGCGCUCGUUGCGGGACUUAACCCAACAUCUCACGACACGAGCUGACGACAGCCAUGCAGCACCUGUGUUCCGGUUCUCUUGCGAGCACUUCCAAAUCUCUUCGGAAUUCCAGACAUGUCAAGGGUAGGUAAGGUUUUUCGCGUUGCAUCGAAUUAAUCCACAUCAUCCACCGCUUGUGCGGGUCCCCGUCAAUUCCUUUGAGUUUUAAUCUUGCGACCGUACUCCCCAGGCGGUCAACUUCACGCGUUAGCUGCGCUACUAAGGCCCGAAGGCCCCAACAGCUAGUUGACAUCGUUUAGGGCGUGGACUAC
rnacentral:misc_RNA from 1 species